rfam:Tinamus guttatus contig73550, whole genome shotgun sequence.
CCAAAGGCUCUUUUCAGAGCCACCAACAAAAUUCAGAAAAUGGGCU